rnacentral:rRNA from 1 species
UACGUAGGGGGGCUAGCGUUGUCCGGAUUUAUUGGGCGUAAAGAGCGUGUAGGCGGCCAGGUAGGUCUGGUGUGAAAACUCGAGGCUUAACCUCGAGAUGUCAUCGGAAACCAUCUGGGCUAGAGUCCGGAAGAGGAGAGUGGAAUUCCUGGUGUAGCGGUGAAAUGCGCAGAUAUCAGGAAGAACACCAAUGGCGAAAGCAGCUCUCUGGGACGGUACUGACGCUGAGACGCGAAAGCGUGGGAGCGAACAGG